AAUCACUAUAGUUUAAAUGACAAAGAAAGAGAGAGAGAAUAUGUUAUUUUAUUCACUUGCAUAUGGAGUACAUAAGACACAGAUCUCCAUAUGACUUAUUUUCGCGUGUUGGAGUACAUCCAGAGACAGAUCUCCAAUAUUUCGCAGGUGGACUUUUGUUCCACAGAAGAGGAUCGGCAUAAUAAUAUUAUUAUUUUUCAUUGUGCAUGCAUCAUACAAUUUGUGUAUGUAUAUGUAUUUGUGUUUCAUUUAUUGCAAAAACAAUUCAUAGGAAAAAUUAAAUUAAUCACAAUUAAUAAGAUUCAAAGAUUAAAGUUAUAUUCAAAACAAUUUGAAAAAAAAUGAAAUCAGGAGAUUUCAAACUUAACAAGGGGGUAAUGUUAUGAAAGGAUUUAGGACACUUUUAGAAAUAAUUAGAAAA
rnacentral:lncRNA from 1 species